rnacentral:tRNA from 1 species
AGUUAUAUAGUUUAAAUAAAAACAUUAAUUUUGUAAAUUAAUUAUUAAUUAAAUAAUUAUAUAACUU